rfam:Xylona heveae TC161 unplaced genomic scaffold L228scaffold_8, whole genome shotgun sequence.
ACAUGCGACCAUAGACUGAGGAGAACUGGGCAUCCCGUCCGCUCUGCCAUACAUAAGCCUCAGAUCGGCGGACUAGUAGUUGGGUCGGUGACGACCAGCGAAUCCCCGCUGUUGCAUGUU